GCGUUUCCUACGCGGUCGGGCGUUGGGUUUCGCGGCCCUCGCCGCACUGGUUGCUCGGCACCUUCGGUCGGGUUGAGGUUGUCAAGCUGGACCAAUAGGUUGUUUCUCUUCAGUUUCCAACAUGGCAGGGAGGUUUAAUAGACAUGGAUAAGAAGUCCGCUCACAGAAAUCCUGAAGAUGCCAAGGCUGGCAAAUAUGAAGGUAAACACAAACGAAAGAAAAAAAGAAAGCAAAACCAAAACCAGCACCGAUCCCGACAUAGAUCAGUGACAUCUUUUUCUUCAGAUGAUCGUGUGUUUCCUUCUUCUUCAUCAUCAUCUUCAGGAAGCCAGACGGAUUUGAGUACUGAAGGACAAAAUAUGAAACACCAAGAAAGAGAAGGAAAAAAAGGAGGAAACAGCCACAUAUGUCACCUUUCCAAGGUAUCAUGUGUUUCAUGUUUAAGAAAUUUAUUUUGCAGUACUUUGGUAGUUGGUUUACUUUUUUUUUUUUCUUUUUUUGAGAUAGAGUCUCACUCUGUCGCCCAGGCUAAAGUGCGGUAA
rnacentral:lncRNA from 1 species